UUAAGCGACUAAGCGUACACGGUGGAUGCCCUGGCAGUCAGAGGCGAUGAAGGACGUGCUAAUCUGCGAUAAGCGUCGGUAAGGUGAUAUGAACCGUUAUAACCGGCGAUUUCCGAAUGGGGAAACCCAGUGUGUUUCGACACAUUAUCAUUAACUGAAUCCAUAGGUUAAUGAGGCGAACCGGGGGAACUGAAACAUCUAAGUACCCCGAGGAAAAGAAAUCAACCGAGAUUCCCCCAGUAGCGGCGAGCGAACGGGGAGGAGCCCAGAGCCUGAAUCAGUGUGUGUGUUAGUGGAAGCGUCUGGAAAGGCGCGCGAUACAGGGUGACAGCCCCGUACACAAAAAUGCACAUGCUGUGAGCUCGAUGAGUAGGGCGGGACACGUGGUAUCCUGUCUGAAUAUGGGGGGACCAUCCUCCAAGGCUAAAUACUCCUGACUGACCGAUAGUGAACCAGUACCGUGAGGGAAAGGCGAAAAGAACCCCGGCGAGGGGAGUGAAAAAGAACCUGAAACCGUGUACGUACAAGCAGUGGGAGCACGCUUCGGCGUGUGACUGCGUACCUUUUGUAUAAUGGGUCAGCGACUUAUAUUCUGUAGCAAGGUUAACCGAAUAGGGGAGCCGAAGGGAAACCGAGUCUUAACUGGGCGUUAAGUUGCAGGGUAUAGACCCGAAACCCGGUGAUCUAGCCAUGGGCAGGUUGAAGGUUGGGUAACACUAACUGGAGGACCGAACCGACUAAUGUUGAAAAAUUAGCGGAUGACUUGUGGCUGGGGGUGAAAGGCCAAUCAAACCGGGAGAUAGCUGGUUCUCCCCGAAAGCUAUUUAGGUAGCGCCUCGUGAACUCAUCUCCGGGGGUAGAGCACUGUUUCGGCAAGGGGGUCAUCCCGACUUACCAACCCGAUGCAAACUGCGAAUACCGGAGAAUGUUAUCACGGGAGACACACGGCGGGUGCUAACGUCCGUCGUGAAGAGGGAAACAACCCAGACCGCCAGCUAAGGUCCCAAAGUCAUGGUUAAGUGGGAAACGAUGUGGGAAGGCCCAGACAGCCAGGAUGUUGGCUUAGAAGCAGCCAUCAUUUAAAGAAAGCGUAAUAGCUCACUGGUCGAGUCGGCCUGCGCGGAAGAUGUAACGGGGCUAAACCAUGCACCGAAGCUGCGGCAGCGACGCUUAUGCGUUGUUGGGUAGGGGAGCGUUCUGUAAGCCUGUGAAGGUGUGCUGUGAGGCAUGCUGGAGGUAUCAGAAGUGCGAAUGCUGACAUAAGUAACGAUAAAGCGGGUGAAAAGCCCGCUCGCCGGAAGACCAAGGGUUCCUGUCCAACGUUAAUCGGGGCAGGGUGAGUCGACCCCUAAGGCGAGGCCGAAAGGCGUAGUCGAUGGGAAACAGGUUAAUAUUCCUGUACUUGGUGUUACUGCGAAGGGGGGACGGAGAAGGCUAUGUUGGCCGGGCGACGGUUGUCCCGGUUUAAGCGUGUAGGCUGGUUUUCCAGGCAAAUCCGGAAAAUCAAGGCUGAGGCGUGAUGACGAGGCACUACGGUGCUGAAGCAACAAAUGCCCUGCUUCCAGGAAAAGCCUCUAAGCAUCAGGUAACAUCAAAUCGUACCCCAAACCGACACAGGUGGUCAGGUAGAGAAUACCAAGGCGCUUGAGAGAACUCGGGUGAAGGAACUAGGCAAAAUGGUGCCGUAACUUCGGGAGAAGGCACGCUGAUAUGUAGGUGAAGUCCCUCGCGGAUGGAGCUGAAAUCAGUCGAAGAUACCAGCUGGCUGCAACUGUUUAUUAAAAACACAGCACUGUGCAAACACGAAAGUGGACGUAUACGGUGUGACGCCUGCCCGGUGCCGGAAGGUUAAUUGAUGGGGUUAGCGGUAACGCGAAGCUCUUGAUCGAAGCCCCGGUAAACGGCGGCCGUAACUAUAACGGUCCUAAGGUAGCGAAAUUCCUUGUCGGGUAAGUUCCGACCUGCACGAAUGGCGUAAUGAUGGCCAGGCUGUCUCCACCCGAGACUCAGUGAAAUUGAACUCGCUGUGAAGAUGCAGUGUACCCGCGGCAAGACGGAAAGACCCCGUGAACCUUUACUAUAGCUUGACACUGAACAUUGAGCCUUGAUGUGUAGGAUAGGUGGGAGGCUUUGAAGUGUGGACGCCAGUCUGCAUGGAGCCGACCUUGAAAUACCACCCUUUAAUGUUUGAUGUUCUAACGUUGACCCGUAAUCCGGGUUGCGGACAGUGUCUGGUGGGUAGUUUGACUGGGGCGGUCUCCUCCUAAAGAGUAACGGAGGAGCACGAAGGUUGGCUAAUCCUGGUCGGACAUCAGGAGGUUAGUGCAAUGGCAUAAGCCAGCUUGACUGCGAGCGUGACGGCGCGAGCAGGUGCGAAAGCAGGUCAUAGUGAUCCGGUGGUUCUGAAUGGAAGGGCCAUCGCUCAACGGAUAAAAGGUACUCCGGGGAUAACAGGCUGAUACCGCCCAAGAGUUCAUAUCGACGGCGGUGUUUGGCACCUCGAUGUCGGCUCAUCACAUCCUGGGGCUGAAGUAGGUCCCAAGGGUAUGGCUGUUCGCCAUUUAAAGUGGUACGCGAGCUGGGUUUAGAACGUCGUGAGACAGUUCGGUCCCUAUCUGCCGUGGGCGCUGGAGAACUGAGGGGGGCUGCUCCUAGUACGAGAGGACCGGAGUGGACGCAUCACUGGUGUUCGGGUUGUCAUGCCAAUGGCACUGCCCGGUAGCUAAAUGCGGAAGAGAUAAGUGCUGAAAGCAUCUAAGCACGAAACUUGCCCCGAGAUGAGUUCUCCCUGACUCCUUGAGAGUCCUGAAGGAACGUUGAAGACGACGACGUUGAUAGGCCGGGUGUGUAAGCGCAGCGAUGCGUUGAGCUAACCGGUACUAAUGAACCGUGAGGCUUAACCUU
rnacentral:rRNA from 1 species